GACGAACGCUGGCGGCGUGCUUAACACAUGCAAGUCGAACGGAAAGGCCCUGCUUUUGUGGGGUGCUCGAGUGGCGAACGGGUGAGUAACACGUGAGUAACCUGCCCUUGACUUUGGGAUAACUUCAGGAAACUGGGGCUAAUACCGGAUAGGAGCUCCUGCUGCAUGGUGGGGGUUGGAAAGUUUCGGCGGUUGGGGAUGGACUCGCGGCUUAUCAGCUUGUUGGUGGGGUAGUGGCUUACCAAGGCUUUGACGGGUAGCCGGCCUGAGAGGGUGACCGGCCACAUUGGGACUGAGAUACGGCCCAGACUCCUACGGGAGGCAGCAGUGGGGAAUAUUGCACAAGGGGCGGAAGCCGGAUGCAGCAACGCCGCGUGCGGGAGGACGGCCUUCGGGUGGUAAACCGCUUUCGCCUGUGACGAAGCGUGAGUGACGGGAAUGGGUAAAGAAGCACCGGCGAACUACGG
rnacentral:rRNA from 1 species